rnacentral:ribozyme from 1 species
GGUGUGCGAUGGACUCACCUCCACGUGGUGCACCCUGGGCAACGUAUAACUCAUACGGCAAAAAAGUCUAU